rnacentral:lncRNA from 1 species
AUCAGUUGACUGUUUUUUGUGUUGUAGGUGGCAGCAGAAGUGGCUGCCCCGCUUGCUAAGACAGAUCAAAUCGUAAUUGUUGGUGAUAAUGCCUCUGGCGUUACUGGUGAGGUGUCCAAACUCGUCAGUCAGCUUCCUCCAGCUGUUCAAGCUCUCACUGGAGUUGACUUGAGUGGGGUUAUUGGCAAAAUUCCUGGUGCAAAAUGAGAAAAUGUUAGAGAUGCUGCUGUAGAAUAAUUUGUUUUAGGUAAACUGAUCCUUGGUUAGAUUUUUUUUUAGAAGCAGUUUUUGUUUUUCUUUUCUACUACAAGGAAGGAAUUCCAACUUGCUCCCAGUCUUUCUUUCUUCCUUCCUUUUAAGAAGACACCAGAGUAACUGGGAUCAAGUCUCCCUCACAAUCUUAUUUUGAUGAUUGAUUUGUCACUUGAUGGAUUGAUUGAUAAUCAAUUGAGUAGUGCUUUUUGAAGCAGGUAUAACACUUUUUAAGUAGUAAAACAGCUUAUUUUGGUAGAGAUGUUUGUUAGCUUUCUUUUUCUCUGCCAUGGACUUGAUUAUUGAGAACCUCAGAUACACAUCACUGAUUCCUUCCUAACACAAGUUAAGCAGUAUUUAAUUUUGUAUGCAUUUGUAACGUUUUUGCAUAGCUUAGCCUUAUAGCAAUUUCCGGACUGGAAUUCAGUGCUAUUUUAAAAUAGCAUAUUUACAAGCAAGGCUUCAACAUGUAUGAAUGCUGAAAGAAUGUGGGGAAUUGAAUUUGAUGGUGUGUUUUAUAAUGUCUGUCAGCAAAAAAAGUGUGGCUGCCAGCAGGGUUUAAGUAACAAGAGUCUUAGUCUGUUUAUUUUGUGUAUAUUCGAUAGUCUGUUAUUGUGGAUUUGCUACAAGCAAAUAGCAGAAUUUUGUAGUGCCAUGUGCAAAAGAUUCGUUUCCAUUUUAGCUUGGAGUAUGGACUAGUUGUUCAAAAGGUAGAUAAUGUUAUCCAUGACUGUCAAGUUUAUACAUGCUAGCAAACUACAAUACUAUCACUGUGGACUGCCAUUUUGUCCAGUUGUAAAUGUGUAAAUUAUCUAUCCUUUCAACAAUUGGCACCAGUAUUGUAAUGUGAGAGUGUCUACUUAAGUACUAACAGAAUUUUUGUGCCAGAACUAUAAUAUUAUCAGAGAGCUGAGCUCAGAAUUAUCAUACAGACAUAGCAGUUAAUAGUCAGCAUUUAGUAGUUAUCCAACAUUCCUAUUCACCCAUUUACAACAGAGAAAUGUUCUUCUUAGGACAGGUUAACAAAAAUGAACAUUCCAUAGAAUAGCUCUGCCAAGUAGUGUUAAUGUAGGACUGUGCGGAUAGUGAAACAUGAAAAUAGUGUUUUGAGACUAAUACCCCAUUCACACCAACAUGUUUAAAAGUGGUUUAACUAAACAAGGUAAAAAUUAGUUGCUCAUACUGUACACACCCCACAACUUAAUAAGGUGAAAACCUGUUUGAUUAAAAAUUAAUAUGUUAGCAAGGGGUUUAAAAUUUGUCUUUUCAAUAUGACUUCAAAACGUCGUGGACAAGUCGGAAAAAACCCAAACCUGAUUUAGCUAAACUAGUCUACUUGGUGUGAAUGGAGCAUUAGUUUUUGAUUAAGUUUAAGACUAGUCAUAACAGUCCAGAUUUAGCAAAGAUAAUCUGAUUUGCGUUUUGGCAUUCUCAUGGAUUUUUCAAGAACAGCACAAAACUUGCAUGAUACCAUUGUGACCUUGUUACAACAAUGGCCUUGCAACCACUGGGAGUUAACUUGUCUAGGCUUAUGAUGCUGUUGCUUGUUAAUCUGCUCUGGUGUUGUGACUUGGGAAGUAUGAUGGUAUUGUGAUUCCAGUGGUCAUCUGCUGAUGGUCAGCUACUGCUGUUAGUUCAUAGCAGCAAAUACAUGUUGGAAAAUUAGAAUUCUGCUUUGCAUUGUGCAGUGUAAAAAUAAUUUGCCACCCUGUUUUGCACAGUUAGGACAGUGAGUUAAGGCUUGUUCAUUCAUCCAGUGUCAAUGGAGUCUAGUGUCUGCUAGUACCUUUGCACAGCAUGCUUACAAGUUUAGGUGUAUGUUAUACAUAUUCAACGAAUGUAGGAGGACCUUAAGCAGGAGGCAAUAUUAUAAAAGUGCCCCUGAAUUUUUCAGAUAAAGACACCUCUGAAACCAGGGUCCUAUUUCAAAACAUAUAUGAAGUGAUAAAUAAUCUGCCUAAGUAUUUAACGUACAAAUGACCAAAGUGGUUGUAACCAAGAAUUUUGGUGAAGCCAGUGACAUUGUAUAUUCACUUAAAAUAUACUUUGUUUUGCCA